rnacentral:rRNA from 1 species
GACGAACGCUGGCGGCGUGCUUAACACAUGCAAGUCGAACGGUAAGGCCCUUCGGGGUACACGAGUGGCGAACGGGUGAGUAACACGUGGGUGAUCUGCCCUGCACUUCGGGAUAAGCCUGGGAAACUGGGUCUAAUACCGGAUAGGACCACUGCCUGCAUGGGUGGUGGUGGAAAGCUUUUGCGGUGUGGGAUGGGCCCGCGGCCUAUCAGCUUGUUGGUGGGGUGAUGGCCUACCAAGGCGACGACGGGUAGCCGGCCUGAGAGGGUGACCGGCCACACUGGGACUGAGAUACGGCCCAGACUCCUACGGGGGGCAGCAGUGGGGAAGAUUGCACAAUGGGCGCAAGCCUGAUGCAGCGACGCCGCGUGAGGGAUGACGGCCUUCGGGUUGUAAACCUCUUUCAGCUAUGACGAAGCGCAAGUGACGGUAGUAGCAGAAGAAGGACCGGCCAACUACGUGCCAGCCGCCGCGGUAA